rnacentral:piRNA from 1 species
UGCUCUUAGUAGUUUAAAUCAUUGUGUAG